ACACCGCCCGUCACACCACGAGAGUUUGUAACACCCGAAGUCGGUGGGGUAACCUUUUUGGAGCCAGCCGCCUAAGGUGGGACAGAUGAUUGGGGUGAAGUCGUAACAAGGUAGCCGUAUCGGAAGGUGCGGCUGGAUCACCUCCUUUCUAUGGAGA
rnacentral:rRNA from 1 species